GCGCCGGAGCCAGCAGCUGGAGGAGCGCGAAGUCGGAGACGCGGGCGUUGCCGCUGCCGUCGACGAGGAUGUUCGAGGAGGUGAGGUGCCGAUGGGAGAGGUUGCCGCCGGACACGCCGUGGAGGUAGGCCAGCCCGUGCGCCGCGUCCUGCGCCAGCUUCAGCCGGGUCUGCCAGUCCAGAGGAACUCUUGCGGGUCCUCGGUUCUCUGUACAAAAAGAGACCAAAUUUUGUGCACAGGAAGCUGAGGACAGAACCAUCUACCUGAUUACGGGCACGAGCAACCUCCUCUUCUGACACAUGGAAUGCAAGUCUUCUAAGCUCCGCCAUUAUUAACCGUGACAAGUCAUGCAGGGUAUCAGGCUGUAAUACAAUUUUGCAAAUUGUAAGAGAACAUUGUAACAAGCAAUAUUUCCAUCCAAUCCAUAUUAUUUGUUCAGUUGUUGUAUA